AUGACUUAUGAGAGUGAUGAUGACAGUGAGGAGACCUUAAGCUCUGACAUUCUGAAGCUGAAGGAGAAGCAGGACAUACUGGACAAGGAGACCUCCCAGUUAACAGCAGAGGGCUACCAUGUGACUGAACUAGAGCAGCAUAUUUCCCUCCUCCAUGAGUACAAUGACAUCAAGGAUGUAUCACAGAUGCUGCUGGGCAAGCUGGCUGUGACUCGAGGCGUUACCACCAAGGAGUUAUAUCAAGAUUGCGAUCUAAACCUGAGUGACUUGAGCAGCUUCUUAGAGAUUUUCAUCUACAGCCCACAGGGACAGGAGGGUGGGGGCAUAAAAGGCAGAGAGUCCAGACAGCCUAUUCAUGUGGUUUUCAGAUUUAAAAAAAUGCUAGAAGCCUCCCAAAGUUUGGGGUGGGUCCUAGACAAGAGGGGUAUUGGGAGGGGUGGGUAUUGUCAAUGUUAAGGCUCCUAAACAUACUUGUGAGUGGAUAUGUGUGGUUGUCCUUUUUGUUAAUAAACA